UNGGAAUUACUGGGCGUAAAGCGGGCGCAGACGGUUACUUAAGCAGGAUGUGAAAUCCCCGGGCUCAACCUGGGAACUGCGUUNUGAACUGGGUGACUAGAGUGUNUCAGAGGGAGGUAGAAUUCCACGUGUAGCAGUGAAAUGCGUAGAGAUGUGGAGGAAUACCGAUGGCGAAGGCAGCCUCCUGGGAUAACACUGACGUUCAUGCCCGAAAGCGUGGGUAGCAAACAGGAUUAGAUACCCUGGUAGUCCACGCCCUAAACGAUGUCGAUUAGCUGUUGGGCAGCAUGACUGCUUGGUAGCGAAGCUAACGCGUGAAAUCGACCGCCUGGGGAGUACGGUCGCAAGAUUAAAACUCAAAGGAAUUGACGGGGACCCGCACAAGCGGUGGAUGAUGUGGAUUAAUUCGAUGCAACGCGAAGAACCUUACCUGGUCUUGACAUGUACGGAACCCUCCAGAGACGGAGGGGUGCCUUCGGGAGCCGUAACACAGGUGCUGCAUGGCUGUCGUCAGCUCGUGUCGUGAGAUGUUGGGUUAAGUCCCGCAACGAGCGCAACCCUUGUCAUUAGUUGCCAUCAUUAAGUUGGGCACUCUAAUGAGACUGCCGGUGACAAGCCGGAGGAAGGUGGGGAUGACGUCAAGUCCUCAUGGCCCUUAUGACCAGGGCUUCACACGUCAUACAAUGGUCGGUACAGAGGGUAGCCAAGCCGCGAGGUGGAGCCAAUCUCACAAAACCGAUCGUAGUCCGGAUUGCACUCUGCAACUCGAGUGCAUGAAGUCGGAAUCGCUAGUAAUCGCAGGUCAGCAUACUGCGGUGAAUACGUUCCCGGGUCUUGUACAC
rnacentral:rRNA from 1 species